CUUAGAGGGGACAGAGAACUAAGUCUUCCUCCUGCAUGGAGUGGGGGAAGUUUUCCUACGGGAGGGGACACUGUCCAUGCUUCCUACUAGGAUCCUGAGGCUGCUGGAGUUUGUGGGGUUUUCAGGAAACAAGGACUAUGGGCUGCUGCAGCUGGAGGAAGGCGCGUCAGGGCACAGCUUCCGCGCUGUGCUGUGUGUCAUGCUCCUGCUGUGCUACCACACCUUCCUCACCUUCGUGCUCGGUACUGGGAACGUCAACAUCGAGGAGGCCGAGAAGCUUUUGAAGCCCUACCUGAACCGGUACCCUAAGGGCGCCAUCUUCCUGUUCUUUGCAGGGCGGAUUGAAGUCAUUAAAGGCAACAUUGAUGCAGCCAUCCGGCGUUUCGAGGAGUGCUGUGAGGCCCAGCAGCACUGGAAGCAGUUCCACCACAUGUGCUACUGGGAGCUGAUGUGGUGCUUCACCUACAAGGGCCAGUGGAAGAUGUCCUACUUCUACGCCGACCUGCUCAGCAAGGAGAACUGCUGGUCCAAGGCCACCUACAUUUACAUGAAGGCCGCCUACCUCAGCAUGUUUGGGAAGGAGGACCACAAGCCGUUCGGGGACGACGAAGUGGAAUUAUUUAGAGCUGUGCCAGGCCUGAAGCUUAAGAUUGCUGGGAAAUCUUUACCCACAGAGAA
rnacentral:sRNA from 1 species